CAAAAGAAAGCAUCACCUCUCUCUCUCGUCCUCUCUUUCUCCUCUCUACUCACUGUCUUAAAUCCACCCCCAAAUCUUCUUCGCACCUGCUUGCUUCCACCAGAGCUGGCUCUCUCCUACUAAUGAAGAUGAGUUUCUCGCCGGGGUCGCAGCGAAGGGAGGGGCGGUGAAGGGUGUGGUCUACAUCUGAGACCAACACAUACACCAGAUCUGUUUCUCCUUAAGACAACUUUUGCUUACAUCAAUGGCAGAUUUUUCUUUUGUACCUCGUGAGGAGAUGAAUCUAUUCCAUGGGGUCUUGAUUUUGGUCUUGUUAAUGGCUAGUGCUUUAGUAUUUGAGUUCAGAUUUUGGGUAUAGCUGAGCAACGAGUAGAGAAAGCAAAGGGGCAAGAGGAAUACUACGAUCUGAUUUUUUUUUUGCUUCCAAUUUUUUCAAGGAUGAAUAGUGGAUUUGAGCUCUGAGACUUGGUGACAAACUGCCUGCCUCUCCGUCCAACAAGCUACACAUAUCUCAUCCAAGACAGUGAAUAAUUAAAUGGCAAACCGUGACUGGAUGUACAAUGGUUGGUCACGUGGGAAAGCUCCCUCUAAUGAUUGGAUUGAAAACACAAACCAUUUCUUAGAUCGUGCAUUUUCUAUGCCUAAUCUGGUUGAAGAUGGUACUAUUAAGUGUCCAUGUGCCCUGUGUCGAAACUAUGUUACGCAAAAAAGGUUUGAUGUGGAGAUGCAUUUAUGUAAAUAUGGGUUUAGGGUUGACUACAGAGUAUGGACAUCACAUGGGGAGGAAGCUAUCAAUAGUCAGGCUGAAGAUAGUAGUCAAGAGAGUGUUGAUGAAAUUGAUCACAUGGCUGAUAUGCUGCUUGAUCUAGGUGGUGACUGUCCACCAUCAAUUGAUGAGGAGCCAACGGCAUCUGCUCAGGCUUUCUAUAGGAUGGUUGAUAAUGCUGAUCAACUAGUGCAUGAGAACACAACACACUCAUCUCUUUCCGCUGUGGCACGUUUGCUAGCUCUGAAAUCACAAUACAAUAUGUCAGUUGCACAUUUUGAAGCAAACUUAGAGUUAAUCCAUGAACUUUUGCCUGUAGACUGUAAGUUGCCCAAGGAUUUCUACCAAUCAAAGAAACUAUUAGAAGGGCUUGGUAUGCCAUAUCUAAAAAUUGAUGCAUGUUAUAACAAUUGCAUGCUUUAUUAUAAAGAGAAUGAAAAUAAAGAUAGGUGUGACGUUUGUGGUAUCUCUCGCUACGAGGAAGGCCAAAGCAAAGUCCCACGUAAAGUCUUGCGGUACCUUCCCAUCACAGAUAGAUUACAAAGGUUAUAUGCACAUGCAAAGACCGCGAAGCAAAUGCAGUCUCAUAGAUGCUCGACAUUUGGUAAGAUGAGGCAUCCUUGUAAUGGGGAAGCAUGGCAACAGUUUGAUAAAGACUUUCCUAACUUUGCUAGUGAUCGUAGAAAUGUGCGGCUUGCUUUUGCAACUGAUGGUUUUACACCUUUUAAUCUGAGUGCAGCCCCCUAUUCAUGUUGGCCAGUUUUUGUUACUCCAUUAAAUCUUCCACCAAGCUUAAUCAUGAAGUCAGAAUAUAUGUUUCUUGCCCUCGUAGUUCCUGGUCCUGAACAUCCUGGAAAGAAAUUGAAUGUUUUGAUGCAACCUAUAGUUGAUGAAUUAAUGAAGCUAUGGGAUGGGGUUGAAACUUGGGAUGCUUCACAGAACAAAAAUUUUACAAUGCGUGCAGCCUAUCUAUGGUCUGUCCAUGAUUUCCCUGCUUAUGGUAACUUUGCUGGAUGGAGCACUCAUGGUAGAUUUGCAUGUCCAAUAUGCUUAUCUAAAAGUAAAGCCUUUCUACUUCAUCAUGGUCACAAGCCUUGCUGGUUUGAUUGCCAUAGGCGGUUCUUACCUAGAGACCAUGAAUUUAGAUUUCAAGCAAAUGCAUCUCGCAAGAACACAAUUGUGUUGGAUGAGCCUCCAAGGCAUUUAACCGGGGAGAAAAUUCUGGUAGAAAUGAACAGUCAUACAACCAAUUCAAAAACCUUUGGUAAAUUGCAUAAUUGGACUCAUAUUAGUUGUUUUUGGCAACUACCAUACUUUCAUAAAUUGUUGUUGCCGCAUAAUAUUGAUGUAAUGCAUAAUGAGAAAAAUGUAGCUGAAGCUAUAUGGAAUACAUGCUUUGACAUACCUGAUAAGACUAAAGACAAUGCUAAAGCAAGGCAAGAUCUAGCUGAGAUUUGUAACCGUCCAUCCUUACAUUUGGUGCUAAAGGAAAAUGGUAAGUGGCACAAACCACGAGCCCCAUUUUGUAUUGAGAAGAAUGACAAGACAAUAAUUCUUAAAUGGUUUCAAGAGCUCAAGUUUCCCGAUGGGUACGCAGCCAACAUUAGAAGAGGAGUUAACUUAUCGCAGCGAAAAAUCUUUGGAUUAAAGAGUCAUGACUAUCACAUCUUUAUGGAACGCUUGCUUCCCGUUGCAUUCCGUGGCUUCCUUCGAGAAGAGACAUGGGUGUGUUUGGCUGAGCUUAGUUUUUUCUAUAGGCAACUAUGUGCCAAAGAAUUAAGAAAGGAUACCAUAUGCAAUUUAGAAGAGCAAAUUGUUGUUCUUUUAUGCAAAAUGGAGAAGAUAUUUCCUCCGGGAUUCUUCAAUCCUAUGCAACAUCUAAUUAUUCAUCUUCCUCGUGAGGCUCGACUAGGAGGCCCCGUUCAAGCCCGUUGGAACUAUCCAUAUGAGAGGAAAAUCCAAAGGCUUAGAAAGAAAGUACGAAACAAGGCUCGUGUUGGAGGUUGUAUUCUUGAGGCUGAAUUAGUUGAGGAGGCCACGAAUUAUCUAUCACUUUAUUUUAAACCCACAGCUCGGUCAGUUAGAAACAAGAUUCCUCGGUACGAUGAUGGUGCAUGUACCUUUGAAAGUUCAUGUAAUAUUGAAAUCUUUAAGUACCCCGGCCGGUGCAGUAGCCCACGAGGUAUACGUUCACUCUCAACAGAAGAGUAUGAGGCUGCAUUCUUAUGCAUAUUGACGAACAUGCCAGAGAUGGAUGGACUCUUCAAAAAAUUUGAUGAGAAACAUUGGAAGAGCAGAAUUAAACCAAAGCCUGAACAACUACGAGACUUAAGGUUAAAUGGGUGGAAGACUAGUCGUGGAAAGCAUGGGCCAAAUUUUUUUGAUUGGUUCAAAGAAGAAUGCAUGGUAACAUCUAGCAUUGAUAUUGCCUUACAUCAAAUAUCUUAUGGAUUUCGCCAAAGGGUUUCGAGUUAUGGGUGCUAUGAUGUGAAUGGAUAUAGAUUUCGGUCAGAGGAGUAUGAGAGAACAAGAUCUGGAUUGACUACUGUUAACACUGGUGUUUGUGUGUGUUGUAUUGAUGAAAAUGAUAAUGAACUAGAGUACUAUGGUGUGAUAAAGGACAUUAUAAAAAUAAAAUGGGAGGGAAGUUUGCAGCUAGAGAUAGUUCUGUUUGAUUGUCAGUGGUUUGAUCCAACAGUGAGGGGCACUAGGUGUACUGAAAAUCUAGGGCUGGUGGAGAUUAAGUGUACCUCUAGGAUUUCAGUUUUUGAACCAUUUGUCAUGGCAAGUCAAGUUAAACAGGUUUAUUAUGUGCCUUAUGCUUGUAAGAACAGAUCAGAUCUAGCAGACUGGUGGGUUGCAUAUCAAGUUACUCCGCGUGGUUGUGUACCUCCCCAAGAUAAUAAUGAUGAUUCAAACUCUCCCGAUGGAACUAAUGAGGAAGUGUUAGUUUAUCAAGAAGACGGACUAGCAGGAACUUUUGUAAUUGAUUUAGGGGUUGAUCUAGAUAAUAUAACUUCAACAAUAUCAGAUGAGAUAACUAAUCCUAAGGACUUGGAAUUUCUAUCUAAACUGAAUAUCGAAGCUGAAUGUGAAGCUAAUAUGGAUGACGAUGAAAUAUAUGAAGAAGAUGAAGAGGAUAUUGAUGAGGAUCAGCAUGAACAUCCACCUCAUAAUAUUCAAGAUCCAACUUUUGAUCCAAAUGAUUUUUGAUUUCCAUUUAUUUAUAUUGUAGUCCUACUUGGAAUUUAUUGGACAUCACUUGUUACUAGUUACAACUCAAGCAAAAGUCUUGUUGAAUGAGUCCAUCUUUAUAUUUGUUAAUGGUUUCAUUUACAUGAGAUGCACAGUCUCCGCC